UACGGAGGGUGCGAGCGUUGUCCGGAAUCACUGGGCGUAAAGGGCGCGUAGGCGGCGCGGGUAGUCAUCGGUGAAAGUUCAGGGCUCAACUCUGAAUCGGCCGGUGAUACUCCCGUGCUCGAGCACUGUAGAGGCAGGUGGAAUUCCGGGUGUAGCGGUGGAAUGCGUAGAGAUCCGGAAGAACACCGGUGGCGAAGGCGGCCUGCUGGGCAGUAGCUGACGCUGAUGCGCGAAAGCGUGGGGAGCGAACAGG
rnacentral:rRNA from 1 species